ACCCAGAGACGGGAGUGUGGUUAUCUGCCGCUGCCCAGUGAAAAGACUCUGGUUUCUGGGGCUCCCAUGUGUCAUGGGUAACGAAGCAGAGCCCAGCCCAGAGGGAAGAGCAGAACCUCUGAGGAAGGGACGCACUGACAUACGUGGGGACAAGUGUUAUGAUGUUGGAGCUUGAGAGACACCACCCCAGAGUACAGUGCUGCAGCUUGAGAGAUGCCACCCCAGAGUAUGACAGUUGGCAUGCUGGUACUUCGAUGACAGGAGUCGGGAAGGGCUCAGAAGCAGUUUACAAACAAGGUCAUAGAAACAAGAGCCCCUCUCCUGCUGAGUAAGCCAUGAAGCCCAGGAAGUCUGCGUCUCCCUGUUUUAAACCCCCCAUUCCAAGUGAUAGAAAUAUGGCCAAGAGAGGCCAAGGAGAAUUUGAACAGGCAGACACACUGGGCUCCUCCUCAGUACAUGGCCAUCAGACCACGCCAUUUGUUUAACCCAUUUCCACAUGGCUGUUUGUUCUUCGAAUGUUAGCAUAAAAUAGACAGUUUUAGCUGAACCCUUGGGUCUUCAUUUCUGAUGGCUCCUAUGUCAGUAAAACUUU